AAAAUUUAUUAUCUUAAAUAACAACUUACCUCACAUUAUUGCAGGACAAUAUCUUAGACAUUUGUGGACUCCUUAAUGAUACUUCAACAAGCCAAACAUAGCCUUAAUAGUCGCUUACAAAUUAGACUACUGCCCUAAGUAGUCCACAUUUCUUCAGUUACCAACCAAGAUGCCCUUCCAUAGUUACUACAUAAACAAUAAAGCAUAGCUAUGCUAGAAGAAGCUACAUACUCCUACCCAACUACACUUAAACAGAAGCCAAAACAUCAUAUGGCAUUUGAGUUCCCUUCAUCUAUUUGAUCUUGACUAAUAAACUUUACUGUUUUCAUAGAAAAUAGACAAAUAUCUAAAUUCCAUUUUGAUAUCUCUGUAAAUAAAUAAAUUAGUCAACUGAAUCAUAUGAGUCACGACAUACUUAGCCGAUCUCUUUUUUCUCUAUUCUUUGCCUAAGGUUCAAGCUUUCUGUUCUGUCAUUUCUGUUGGCCUUCCUCUGCCCCUAUGGGCAAAGGAAGGCCUCUCUUUCCCUCACUCGGCUGUGGGUUCCCUCCUCAACUCUGGAGUAGGCUGUAAAUUUGAUUUUUGUUUCUGGAAGCUUUUAGACAUUGGUACGAAUCUGCUGUUUCUGCGUCCCAGCAAUGGCUCCUGCGAAUGAAGCUGUUGACUUAGAGGUAUAGGGUCGUUCCUCCUUUCACUGGUUGGCAUGGGGGCAUGGCGCAAGCGAGACGCCGAUGGUCCUU
rnacentral:misc_RNA from 1 species